UCCCUGGUGGCUCAGCUGGUAAAGAAUCUGUCUGCAAUACAGGAGACCUGGGUUUGAUCCCUGGAUUGGGAA
rnacentral:tRNA from 1 species